UACAGAGGUGGCAAGCGUUGUUCGGAAUUACUGGGCGUAAAGGGCGCGUAGGCGGCCUUCUAAGUCAGACGUGAAAUCCCCCGGCUUAACCUGGGAACUGCGUCUGAUACUGGGAGGCUUGAGUAUGGGAGAGGGAUGUAGAAUUCCAGGUGUAGCGGUGAAAUGCGUAGAUAUCUGGAGGAAUACCGGUGGCGAAGGCGGCAUCCUGGACCAUUACUGACGCUGAAUCGCGAAAGCUAGGGGAGCAAACGGG
rnacentral:rRNA from 1 species